GCCGCUCUGCAGCCACGGCCCGAAGGCCGUCGGGAGGAGGCGGUGAGGUUGGAGCCGAACGGGAGGUGACUAGCCUGUGGUGCGCAGGGCUCUCCCGGCUGGCGGGGCGCUCGGUGAAGCCCCGGGGAAACCGCCCCGGAGGGGUGCUCGGUGGAGGCUGCCCUGCCUCUCAGAGUGCCGCUGGCCUCGGUGGGGCAGGGUGCUGAUGCUUCUUCUCUCACAGCUGCUCCGCUGAUUAGGCAGAGCCUUCCCGGGAGCUUUGUAGGAGUUAACUGUAAAAACUCUGGAGCUAGAUGUCCGGCAGCAGCCGUAGAGAUCGCUUCAAUCCCUUUUCUAUGUGUAAUGAUACAAACAAAUCCAACAGCACAACGUAUACCGACACAUUGGAGUACUGUGGUUUAACCUAUCUGUUCUCAUAGGGUGUUACUCUUUACGCUCCUCACAAACACGCAGAUUUUGCAGUGGGUAAAACUAGUCUUGGAAUGAAUUACAAAAGUGCUGUGUCAGCAGUUUUUCAGAGGAGACAGACUCAAGUUCACAUUGUUGCAAGGACAAUGCAGUGUCACUAUGCCUUCCCCCCCCAGUCUAUUUUAUAGAUUGUACUAUAGCACCUAAUGUGCUAGCAGAGAAAUUCUAAAAUGCUUGAUUGGUGGACCGGCGCUGUUUUGUACAGAGGGCGUAGUGGUAUAGCCAGAGCAUGACUGCACCUUACAUGCUGGCUUUUGUCCUUGGUUCCUGCUGCUGCAGUUUAUUUGAAAUUUCCUUAAUAUUCUCCUGUGUUAGCAGUUUUACAGUUCCCGUAAGCAUAGAAAGUGGUUCCAUAUGUAAGCAUCUUUACACAUCAGGUAGAAGCUGGUGUAUGCCAUGUGUUCUGCUCCCAUUGAGGUAACUAUAAAUGAGCGAAGAGAUAAAUUACAGCAGAAUUAGAAAGGGGCUUAUGCUGAGGAAAUUUUUGAACAUAUAGCAAGUUUCAGAUGAAAAUAAGGAUAUAGAGACAUAGAUGAAGAUUACUAACAGUGGGUUCUGCUCUUGACUUUGUAUUUCAAUGAUUACAUGGAAAGACUUAUUAGGGCAGGCUUUGUGUUGUCUAAGUUGUUCUACAUUUUAUCUUAAUGUGUUUUGCAAAUGCACGUGCAGAUUUUAAUGUGAAUACUGAAUCCUGCAGAAGAUAAAGGUGAGAAUUAUGUAUAAGGGGCCAUGAAAUUAGAUUAAUCUUGUACUUGCUACAUGGUUCAAACCAGUCACAAUAUGUGCAAUGAUUAAACUUACAAUGGGUCAAAAUGUGAAGGAGGCUCUAAUUAAAGCAGGCUGAAUCUGUCUUGCAUGCUCUUACUAGUCAUGCGCUUGAGGAAGGAGAAGAAAGGUAGGCUACAGAUGAAAGGAUUAGAAGCGUGCACUGUUCCUAUAUAUGGAGCUUUAAUCCAGUGUCAUGAUAGCAUUAUGGACUUGCUGAUGAUGAUAGAAUGAGGAAAAGGAAUACAACAUCUCUCUCUUAUGGAUUAGUUAAAAUGCUUCCUGAGUAGUUUUUACAUUGGCUGUUGACAAGAAGGAAAGAAAAAUCCUCACUUCAAGUAAAAGCCAGGAAACAGAAUACUACGGAAGAUGGACCUCAGCCAUGACCAGCAUGGCCAUUGCUACAAAUGUACCUGUACCAAAUUCUUGACUGUCCACCUCAUAGCAGUCUGCUAGGAAGCGAACUUGUGCUGGGGAAGGAGGAGGAAGUCUCCUGUACAUUCAUGCAACAGGUGCUUCUGUGAGCUGAAAUCCAAAGGCACCUAUGCCCAGGACUCCCCAGAUUGUCCUGCCCAACACAGCAUCAGCUCCUGCCUAUGAAAAAGAUAAUACUGAAAUAAUCUCCAAACAUGUAAGUGCCUGUAGGUUGGCCAUCCUGGACUUACACCUGAAACCUGGCCUGAUACACUCUAACCCAGCUGUCAGUGACAGAUUACAUGCUUUUGGUUUGGGCUCACAUAGAUGAUACAUUUCCAAGUAAACAUCUGAGCACAGAGCUAGAAAAAAAUACAGAGGAACUCAUUGACAGCACAUAGAAGAUGAUGUAUUAGGCUUCCCUCACAAUCAAUAUUUGCAGCAAUUGCAGCAGGGCUGCAUCUCCCAUGUGGCACGUUUUCUGGUGCGUUGGCCCUUUUUGGUUAGGAUGGCUGCAAUUAAUUUAUCAAAACAAGUAUGAAGGAUCUGUUGAUGUUGCUACCUCAGUGUCUUUUCUGCAAACAUCCGUUUUUCAAAUUUAUAAUUUCACCUGAUGAAAGGAGAAAACGGACAUCACGCACAAUGUGCCUUUAAAUGCAAGUGCUAAACUAUGACUUCUUCCUCUGCACUCUCCACAGCCCAAAUGACCAGAGCUCCCUAUUUCUUUACGAUAAACUUUGGCUCGCAUUUA